ACGACCUUACUUGAAAAGGAUCUGUUGAUGAAUCAGGACCUCUUAGAACUCUAACGAGACAGGCACAAAAGUCUGGUUGAUGAAUCAGGACCUCAGGAUCGGAGCGUGAUUAACGGUGAGGAUCUCUCGAGGUCUCUCACGGUAGGGGAACGUUCUCAGCUGGUGGUUCCCAUCCGGCUGGGGCGAUCCUGGGGUUGUCUGACAGACC